rnacentral:rRNA from 1 species
GACGAACCGUGCGAACGUUGUUCGGAAUCACUGGGCUUAAAGGGCGCGUAGGCGGACCUGCCAGUCUGUGGUGAAAUCCCUCGGCUUAACCGAGGAACUGCCGUCCAAACUGCUUCGCUUGAGACCGGGGAGAGGUGAGUGGAAAUUCCCAGUGUAGCGGUGAAAUGCGUAGAUAUUGGGAGGAACACCAGUGGCGAAGGCGGCUCACUGGACCGGUACUGACGCUGAUGCGCGAAAGCGUGGGGGAGCAAACGGGG